AAGAAAAGAAAAAGAGGGAGAAGAAGCGAGAGGGGAAAAGAAAAAGAAAGAAGUGAAAAGAGAAGGGAGCGGGAGGAAGGGAGAGAAAGAAAAGAGGAAAAGGGGAAGUAGGGGGUAGGUUAAGUGAGUUAGUGAGUAGUAAGUAGGGUAGUAGGAACCGGGCACAGUCCAUGCAGCCCGUCCCCCAGCUCCCAACAGCAACGUCUCGUCCACCUUUGAAAGCAGGCAUGUGGAGUCUUCCUCCUCGGCAUUCAUUGGCGGAUAAGUACCCCAACCUCUCCAUUUGCCACCUGACACCCGAUCCCUCCUCCUGCUCAUUGGACCCCUAAUUUCUCGAACCUGUGACAUCACGCCACAGGUCCUCUCACUCCCCUCCCCUCAGUCCUUUCCUGUUUGUUUCAUCCGACAUGCUUUUACUUUUUCCCUCUCACCUUUCUUCUUUUUGCGGGUUGGGUUUGGGACACAUGCGUUAC
rnacentral:lncRNA from 1 species